ensembl:lncRNA
UCAGUACUGAGCUGUGGUAUGAAGCUAUUCCUACUCAAUUCUCUCCGCUGCCUCUCCUUUCACAGGUGUCAGAUAUGCGUCACUACUUGCAAGCUCUUCCCACCUAUUUCUGUUCUUUCUUCGUCUGGACUUCAUGGGAGAUAGAUCUACUGGUUCUCUUGAACAAGUCUAAUGCCAUCUUUGCAUCAACAUCUCAGAGGACCUAAACUGGCCCAUGUGGUAAAUACGCCUUCCCAAGUGAAAAGUGUGCCAAAUAAUAUCAUAAUGAGCAUACUCAGUGUCUGAAAUCAGCCUGCAGAGGUUGGAAAGAGAAAGGCUGAAAAGAAACAAAGAUUAACACAAAGACUAAAACCUCUUAGUCCCUCAAGCAAUGUUUAUAUUCUUGGGAACAUGUGGGAAAAUGGAUAAGUGGCGUCCUUGGAGUUUGCUUUUAAAACUCACUGGAUGUUUCCAAGUGCAAUCACAAAACUUAAUGGAGAUCAGAGGGCCCCUUUACUUGGAAGAAGAAUUUGAACCCCCUUGGUUUGGAAGAGCCAAAAGCUGGAAACAAUCCAAGUGUCUUUCAACGGAUGAAUGAAUAAACAAAAUGUCAUAUAAACACACAGUGGAAUAUUAUUCAGCCAUGAAAAGUGACCUGAAGGA